rnacentral:rRNA from 1 species
GGUUUGAGAGGAUGAUCCGCCACACUGGGACUGAGACACGGCCCAGACUCCUACGGGAGGCAGCAUUGGGGAAUUUUGGACAAUGGGCGCAAGCCUGAUCCAGCCAUGCCGCGUGUCUGAAGAAGGCCUUCGGGUUGUAAAGGACUUUUGUCCGGGAGCAAAUCCCAGUGGUUAAUACCUACUGGGGCUGAGAGUACCGGAAGAAUAAGCACCGGCUAACUACGUGCCAGCAGCCGCGGUAAUACGUAGGGUGCAAGCGUUAAUCGGAAUUACUGGGCGUAAAGCGUGCGCAGGCGGUUGUGCAAGUCUGAUGUGAAAGCCCCGGGCUUAACCUGGGAACGGCAUUGGAGACUG